rnacentral:rRNA from 1 species
GAUGAACGCUGGCUACAGGCUUAACACAUGCAAGUCGAGGGGAAACGACGGGGAAGCUUGCUUCCCCGGGCGUCGACCGGCGCACGGGUGAGUAACGCGUAUCCAACCUGCCUCUGACUGAGGGAUAACCCGUCGAAAGUCGGCCUAAUACCUCAUGGUAUCGUCUGCGGGCAUCCAACGACGAUUAAAGAUUUCAUCGGUCAGGGAUGGGGAUGCGUCUGAUUAGCUUGUUGGCGGGGUAACGGCCCACCAAGGCUACGAUCAGUAGGGGUUCUGAGAGGAAGGUCCCCCACAUUGGAACUGAGACACGGUCCAAACUCCUACGGGAGGCAGCAGUGAGGAAUAUUGGUCAAUGGGCGAGAGCCUGAACCAGCCAAGUAGCGUGCAGGAAGACGGCCCUAUGGGUUGUAAACUGCUUUUAUGCGAGGAUAAAGUGAGGGACGUGUCCCUCAUUGCAGGUACCGCAUGAAUAAGGACCGGCUAAUUCCGUG